GUCUGGUUGGCACUGUUGAAGUCCGAUUGGUGCUAUUGAAGGUUGAUGGCUGGAGAGAUACGGAAGACACAGAAGACAGUCGGUCAUUAUAGAAAUCCGACUACUAGAGCCCGUCCAUUGUAGAAGUUUGUCUGAAAUCCAUCCGCUGUACAAAUUCGGACGGAGUCCAAUUCUUGCAGAAGUCUGGAAGGAGGCUGCUUACUGUAGAAGCUCAGAUGG
rnacentral:lncRNA from 1 species